GAUGAAGGCCGGCGGCGUGCCUAAUACAUGCAAGUCGAGCGAAUGGAUUAAGAGCUUGCUCUUAUGAAGUUAGCGGCGGACGGGUGAGUAACACGUGGGUAACCUGCCCAUAAGACUGGGAUAACUCCGGGAAACCGGGGCUAAUACCGGAUAACAUUUUGAACCGCAUGGUUCGAAAUUGAAAGGCGGCUUCGGCUGUCACUUAUGGAUGGACCCGCGUCGCAUUAGCUAGUUGGUGAGGUAACGGCUCACCAAGGCAACGAUGCGUAGCCGACCUGAGAGGGUGAUCGGACACACUGGGACUGAGACACGGCCCAGACUCCUACGGGAGGCAGCAGUAGGGAAUCUUCCGCAAUGGACGAAAGUCUGACGGAGCAACGCCGCGUGAGUGAUGAAGGCUUUCGGGUCGUAAAACUCUGUUGUUAGGGAAGAACAAGUGCUAGUUGAAUAAGCUGGCACCUUGACGGUACCUAACCAGAAAGCCACGGCUAACUACGUGCCAGCAGCCGCGGUAA
rnacentral:rRNA from 1 species